GUCUUCAGCUGGGGCUGGAGAGCGGGAGAGGAGUCCAGUGAUCUGCCCUUCAUCAAGUGCUGCUCCCAGGAAGAAAGCAGUGAUUAUACUGAAGUCUGAAUGACAGAUGAGGGUCGAUCUAAGGCUUGCUGGACUUUAACUGAUGAAAUACACUGUUUGAUACAGUUGGUGCUUCUCCAUGUCCAGAUUCAGCUAAGAAGGCCAAACACAGAACACAUUGAUGCUACCUGUGGAGGACCAUCUGGAAAGAGGAGCAAUUGUCUCCGUUUU